rnacentral:rRNA from 1 species
AUGCCGCGUGCAGGAAGACUGCCCUAUGGGUUGUAAACUGCUUUUAUACAGGAAGAAACCCUCCCACGUGUGGAGGGCUGACGGUACUGUACGAAUAAGGACCGGCUAACUCCGUGCCAGCAGCCGCGGUAAUACGGAGGAUGCAAGCGUUAUCCGGAAUCAUUGGGUUUAAAGGGUCCGUAGGUGGACAAUUAAGUCAGAGGUGAAAUCCUGUAGCUCAACUGUGGAAUUGCCUUUGAUACUGGUUGUCUUGAGUUAUUGUGAAGUAGUUAGAAUGUGUAGUGUAGCGGUGAAAUGCAUAGAUAUUACACAGAAUACCGAUUGCGAAGGCAGAUUACUAAUAAUAUACUGACACUGAUGGACGAAAGCGUGGGGAGCGAACAGGAUUAGAUACCCUGGUAGUCCACGCCGUAAACGAUGGAUACUA